GGUACUGUAUGUACAAUAGGUCUCUAUACACCCUAUGGUACUGUAUGUACAAUAGGUCUCUCUCUAUACACCCUAUGGUACUGUAUGUACAAUAGGUCUCUCUCUAUACACCCUAUGGUACUGUAUGUACAAUAGGUCUCUCUCUAUACACCCUAUGGUACUGUAUGUACAAUAGGUCUCUCUCUAUACACCCUAUGGUACUGUAUGUACAAUAGGUCUCUCUAUACACCCUAUGGUACUGUAUGUACAGUAGAUCUCUCUCUAUACACCCUAUGGUACUGUAUGUACAAUAGGUCUCUCUCUAUACACCCUAUGGUACUGUAUGUACAAUAGGUCUCUCUCUAUAACCCUAUGGUACUGUAUGUACAGUAGAUCUCUCUCUAUACACCCUAUGGUACUGUAUGUACAAUAGGUCUCUCUAUACACCCUAU